rnacentral:rRNA from 1 species
GGAUUCCCCUAGUAACUGCGAGUGAAGCGGGAAGAGCUCAAAUUUAAAAUCUGGCGGUCUCUGGCCGUCCGAGUUGUAAUCUAGAGAAGUGCUGCCCGCGCUGGACCGUGUACAAGUCUCCUGGAAUGGAGCGUCAUAGAGGGUGAGAAUCCCGUCUCUGACACGGACUACCAGGGCUUUGUGGUACGCUCUCAAAGAGUCGAGUUGUUUGGGAAUGCAGCUCAAAAUGGGUGGUAAAUUCCAUCUAAAGCUAAAUAUUGGCGAGAGACCGAUAGCGAACAAGUACCGUGAGGGAAAGAUGAAAAGAACUUUGGAAAGAGAGUUAAACAGUACGUGAAAUUGCUGAAAGGGAAACGCUUGAAGUCAGUCGCGUUGGCCGGGGAUCAGCCUCGCUUUUGCGUGGUGUACUUCCUGGUUGACGGGUCAGCAUCAAUUUUGACCGCUGGAAAAAGGCUUGGGGAAUGUGGCAGCUUCGGCUGUGUUAUAGCCCUUUGUCACAUACAGCGGUUGGGAUUGAGGAACUCAGCACGCCGCAAGGCCGGGUUUCGACCACGUUCGUGCUUAGGAUGCUGGCAUAAUGGCUUUAAGCGACCCGUCUUGAAACACGGACCAAGGAGUCUAACAUGCCUGCGAGUGUUUGGGUGGAAAACCCGAGCGCGUAAUGAAAGUGAAAGUUGAGAUCCCUGUCGUGGGGAGCAUCGACGCCCGGACCAGAACUUUUGGGACGGAUCCGCGGUAGAGCAUGUAUGUUGGGACCCGAAAGAUGGUGAACUAUGCCUGAAUAGGGUGAAGCCAGAGGAAACUCUGGUGGAGGCUCGUAGCGAUUCUGACGUGCAAAUCGAUCGUCAAAUUUGGGUAUAGGGGCGAAAGACUAAUCGA